rnacentral:miRNA from 9 species
AUAAAGCUAGGUUACCAAAGC